AAAAGCAAAAACCGGUGUAGGCUAACUUGUGAAGUUGUGAUACUGUAAUAUACGCGCAGUACUCGCACUUGAAGAUCUAUUCAGAAGCUGAGUACUACAAACUGGAAAAAGACGGCUAUGAAAGGCAAUAAUGAUGGAGACUCACUGAAUGAUCCCUGGUAUGGCAGCAACAACCGUCCAUUUUCAACGUACAACAGUUGAGAUUGAUCAACUGGUGUGGGGCCGCUUGGGGCAACUGCCUUUUUGGCCAGCUGUACCUAAUUACUCCGGAUGAAGAUGGAAAUUUUCACAAACUUAUCGAACCGACGCCCAAUCAAAGACAGAAAAGCUGUGAGAGUGGCAGCCCGCCUCAGGCCGAGGUUUGAGGGUUCGCUGGAAGCCGCCAAACAGUUCAUGUGAGUUA